GGGAUUAUUCAGUCGGGAGGUCGCGGACGCAGAGUGUGGAAUGACCAGAAUGGUUCUCCGGACGGAGCCGUCCACGCCCUGCGCUUUCGUGCCACCCGACGCAUUUGUUUCCCGUCCAGAGGACGCCGCAACCGGUUGGAGAACGGCCUUAAGGGCAGACGAUGGCAGGUGGCCGGUGAUUUUUUCCCCCUCGGGGGGGAGAGUCUGCCGGUUGUUAGCCGGUUUCUGUCGCACGGCUCGUGAUCCGACCGUGGUGUCGCGAGACCCCUAGCGGGUCUCUUCGCCUCCUCCUUUCGCGGGAAGCCGGGAAUUGGCGGCACGGUCCCUCCCCCCUGCGGGCGCACUGACUGACUCAGUGGCCCAGCUAUCGGGAGGUCCGGUUGGUAGCCUUUUACCCGUUGGAGUGUCGGCGGUUAGCGGCGAGUAGAUCGGUCACCCACCUGGCCCGUCUUGAAACACGGACCAAGGAGUCUAACAUGUGUGCGAGUCAAUGGGUCUCGAAUAAGCCCAGAGGCGCAAUGAAAGCAAAGGCCGGACUUGACUUCGGCUGUGUUGGGAUCCUCCUCUUGUGAAAUGGGGGAGGCGCACCAACGACCCGUCCCAUCCGAUUUAUCGGUGGGGCGGAGUCUGAGCAUACACGUUGGUACCCGAAAGAUGGUGAGCUAUGCCCGGGCAGGACGAAGCCAGAGG
rnacentral:rRNA from 1 species